rnacentral:rRNA from 1 species
GUAAAGUGGCGCACGGGUGAGUAACGCGUGGGUAAUCUGCCUCUGAAUCGGGGAUAACAUCGCGAAAGCGUUGCUAAUACCGGAUAAUAUCGUUCUGAUUAAUUUUUUAACGAUCAAAAGUGACCUCUACAUGUAAGUUACUGUUUGGAGAUGAGCCCGCGUACCAUUAGCUGGUUGGCAGGGUAACGGCCUACCAAGGCGACGAUGGUUAGCUGGUCUGAGAGGAUG